AACGAACGCUGGCGGCAUGCCUAACACAUGCAAGUCGAACGAGACCUUCGGGUCUAGUGGCGCACGGGUGCGUAACGCGUGGGAACCUGCCCUUAGGUUCGGAAUACCUCCCCGAAAGGGGUGCUAAUACCGGAUAAUGUCUUCGGACCAAAGAUUUAUCGCCUUUGGAUGGGCCCGCGUUGGAUUCGCUAGUUGGUAGGGUAAAAGCCUACCAAGGCGACGAUCCAUAGCUGGUCUGAGAGGAUGAUCAGCCACACUGGGACUGAGACACGGCCCAGACUCCUACGGGAGGGAGCAGUGGGGAAUAUUGGACAAGGGGCGAAAGCCUGAUCCAGCAAUGCCGCGUGAGUGAUGAAGGCCGUAGGGUUGUAAAGCUCUUUUACCCGGGAUGAUAAUGACAGUACCGGGAGAAUAAGCACCGGCUAACUACGUG
rnacentral:rRNA from 1 species